UGGAAAACACUGAAUGAAUAGUUGCCUGGAACACCCAGAAAUCAAUUAAAUAUUUGAGAAUCAAGAAAGCAAUUCAGUGUCAAGAUGGCGGCAUAAGCAGACUCUGAACUCAUCUCCUCCCAUGAACACAGCCAGGUUACAACUAGUGUUGGAAAAAUUACCCUGGAAAGAAAACUGAAAACUGGAUAAAAAGAACCCCCACAACAAGGGACAGUCCUGACUAAGGCAGAAGAGGCAGAAAUUCCUUCUGGAGAGAAAAAAAGCCACCUUCAGGAGCAGCAGAUUUCCUCAGCCAGCAGGGCGGGAGCCUCCCUAAGGCAGGCGGGAGGAUCCACCUCUGUGGGGCAGGGCCUGUGUGAGGACCAGGUGAACUGUGGGGAGCAUUGGUGGAGAGGGUGAAUUUGGACACAGACACAGGGAAGACAAUGUGAAGAGACAGCCAUGUACAAG
rnacentral:lncRNA from 1 species